GACGAACGCUAGCGGCGUGCUUAACACAUGCAAGUCGAACGAAGGGGCGUACGGGUGAGUAACGCGUAAGCAACCUGCCCUUCAGAGGGGGACAACAGUUGGAAAAGAAUGCUAAUACCGCAUACAGAAGGAGGGGAUUGCGGCUGAUUAGCUAGUUGGAGGGGUAACCGCCUACCAAGGCGAUGAUCAGGAGCCGGUCUGAGAGGAUGAACGGCCACAUUGGUCCUGAGACACGGCCCAGACGACUACGGGAGGCAGCAGUGGGGAAGCUUCCGCAAUGGACGAAAGUCUGACGGAGCAACGCCGCGUGAGGGAUGACGGCCUUCGGGUUGUAAAGCUCUGUUAAUCGGGACGCGGUACCGGAAUAGAAAGCCACGGCUAACUACGUACCAGCCGCCGCGGUAAGUC
rnacentral:rRNA from 1 species